CUGCUGCCUCCCGUAGGAGUUUGGGCCGUGUCUCAGUCCCAAUGUGGCCGUUCACCCUCUCAGGCCGGCUACUGAUCGUCGCUUUGGUGGGCCGUUACCCCGCCAACUGGCUAAUCAGACGCGGAUCCAUCGUAUACCACCGGAGUUUUUCACACUGUUCCAUGCGGAACCGUGCGCUUAUGCGGUAUUAGCACCUAUUUCUAAGUGUUAUCCCCCUGUAUACGGCAGGUUAUCCACGCGUUACUCACCCGUCCGCCACUAACCCAA
rnacentral:rRNA from 1 species